rnacentral:rRNA from 1 species
UACGUGAGGCGGAGCAAAACACAAAACACAGUCUCAGUUCAGAUUGUAGGCUGAAACUCGCCUAUAUGAAGUCGGAAUUGCUAGUAAUCGCGGAUCAGCAUGCCGCGGUGAAUACGUUCCCGGGCCUUGUACACACCGCCCGUCACACCAUGAGAGUCGAUAACACCCGAAGCCUGUAGUCUAACAGCAAUGAGGACGCAGUCGAAGGUGGGAUUGAUAAUUAGGGUGAAGUCGUAACAAGGUAUC